GUGUAUAGAGUGGCGAACGGGUGAGUAACACGUGACCAACCUGCCUCUUACAUUGGGACAACCAAAAGAAAUUCUGGCUAAUACCAAAUACUCCGCACAUAUCACAUGAUGUAUGCGGGAAAGCUUUUGCGGUAAGGGAUGGGGUCGCGGCCCAUUAGGUAGACGGCGGGGUAGAAGCCCACCGUGCCGAUGAUGGGUAGCCGGGUUGAGAGACCGACCGGCCACAUUGGGACUGAGAUACGGCCCAGACUCCUACGGGAGGCAGCAGUGGGGAAUAUUGCGCAAUGGGGGAAACCCUGACGCAGCAACGCCGCGUGCGGGAUGAAGGCCUUCGGGUUGUAAACCGCUUUCAGCAGGGAAGACAUCGACGGUACCUGCAGAAGAAGCCCCGGCUAACUACGUGCCAGCAGCCGCGGUAAUACGUAGGGGGCGAGCGUUAUCCGGAUUCAUUGGGCGUAAAGCGCGCGCAGGCGGUUGCUCAAGCGGAACCUCUAAUCUCGGGGCUUAACCUCGAGCCGGGUUCCGAACUGGACGACUCGAGUGCGGUAGAGGCAGAUGGAAUUCCCGGUGUAGCGGUGGAAUGCGCAGAUAUCGGGAAGAACACCAACGGCGAAGGCAGUCUGCUGGGC
rnacentral:rRNA from 1 species